rnacentral:rRNA from 1 species
CCUGUUUAUCAAAAACAUUUCUUACAGAAUUAUUGUAAGUAACACCUGCUCCAUGAAUUCUAAAUAGCCGCGGAAUUUUAACCGUGCUAAGGUAGCAUAAUCAUUAGCCUCUUAAUUAGGGGCUCGUAUGAAAGGUGAAACAUUUCAUACUCUCUAUUAAAUAAUUUUUUUAAAGUUAAAUUAAGAAUAAAAAUGUUCUUAUUUCAUAAAUAGACGAUAAGACCCUUUUGAACUUUACUCCAGUUUGGCUGGGGCAGCCAAAAAAUAAAUAUCUUCUUUCCUUUUUUUGAAUAAAUGAUCCAAUUUAAUUGAAUAAUGAACAAUGUUACCAUAGGGAUAACAGCGUAAUAUAUUUCUAAAGCUCUUAUUUAAAAAUAAACUUGCGACCUCGAUGUUGAAUUAGUGUUACUUUACUGGUGCAAUAACUCUAAAAGUUGGUCUGUUCGACCCUUAAAACACUACAUGAUCUGAGUUCAAACC